rnacentral:miRNA from 1 species
UCAAGCUCGGUUUUAUGGGUGC